rnacentral:piRNA from 1 species
GCUAGUCAGUUUUAGUGCCCAAAUGAUC